UGAAGGCAGUAGGAAAUCAAUGACAUUGAACCCAGUGUUGAUUGAUACUUACUUUAUCAACCCUAAAAGGAUGGAAAGUAAAGUUGACCUCGGUGCCAUUUAAUCUCAGAGCAUAAAGACACAGAAGAAACUGUCACUUUACAUUCUGUCCAGCAUGGUCACUGCUUGGAAUCGAACUUGGAAUCUUGGGGUUAGUAGCUCGUGCUCUUAACCACUACGCUAUAUACCCGUUGAAUGAAACAAAAACAGGCAGAACAUGCUUUGACAUACACACAUUUACCAUUCUCACCCUGUUAGUUUGCUCAAUAAACGGCUUGCCAAGAAACAUUAA